AACCACCUGCUGCCUUGUGUCGCGUUGGAAGAAAACGCAUGGCCCGACGCCCGGAUCGGCAAGCAAGCAAAACACUUUCAUGUUCUCACGUGUAUCUAAGGCUUUUACCAUGUUUCACAAAAUUUUUGUGACACUAACUGUGCUCUUAGCAGCAAAAUGCGUGUUCGCUGUUUCCUCUGACCCUGAUCUUGAGAAGUUCCUCAUUACUGUUGCAAAACACGAUCGCGUGGUCGUAAUAUUCACGCAAGAAUGCUGCACCUGCACGGAUUGCGUCGAACUAGAACAGAUUUUGAAUGCAAAACAGCAGGAGCUAAGCGAAGACUAUGGAGUUGGUGUUGUGAAAGUGGUUAGCAAACCGCAGAUUGAAGAACGUUACGGCGUCACGUCUCGCCCGACGCUUCUCUUCUUUCGACAAUCGGUUCCUGCUCUUUUCGAAGGUCGCCACGACCCCGACAGCAUACUGGAAUGGAUCGGCCAGAGCUUGGAGCCUUCAGUAAAGGCCCUGGAUGACAAUUCCUUCGAGCAUCUUACACAGGCUGCGACAGGAGCCACUACGGGCAACUGGCUUGUGGUGUUCCACACAGACAAAUGCGUGAAAAAAGAUUCGGCAACUGGCGUGCUGGAGGGGCUAUCGUCGCAGGUUAAAGGUACCACAACUGUUGCCAAAGUCGACAUUGAUCGUUCUCCAGGCCUGGUGGAAAGGUUUUCAAUCAAGGAAUGCCCCACCAUCCUUUUCUUCCGGUUAGGUAAAAUGUACAAGUACAAUGUCAAGAAGCUGGAGAUCAAAUCAUUGAAGAAUUUUGUGGAUGGCUUGUACAAAAACAUGAAGGCCCAUCCAGUGCCAGUGCUUCAGACACCAUUCGACAAGUUAGUUGAAAAAAUUGCAGACUUCCUUAAGGUACUUUUAAUCGUCUGUGCCAACACAACGGUGUAGACCAUAUUAGUGUUGCUUUUCACGGGAGCUGGUGACAAGAAUGUGCUUUAACCACUGCCACAGUUCCACAUGCACCCGACUUUAUAUCUGGGGAACACAGAAGAACUGUGAUGCUGGGGUUUGUGGCAUUUUUCUCUGUCACAUACACCUUGUACAAGGCUCUUUCACUUCGAAACACACAGAAACAAGUAAAGAAGGAUUGAUCUUUGGACCUGCCUGUCUCUUACUGGCAGCUGUCAGAAUAAAAAACUUUCACAUUGUC